GGCCCAGACUCCUACGGGAGGCAGCAGUGGGGGAUAUUGCACAAUGGGGGGAACCCUGAUGCAGCGACGCCGCGUGGGUGAAGGAGCGUUUCGGCGCGUAAAGCCCUAUCGGCAGGGAAGAAGGAGGACAGUACCUGACUAAGAAGCCCCGGCUAACUACGUGCCAGCAGCCGCGGUAAUACGUAGGGGGCAAGCGUUAUCCGGAUUUACUGGGUGUAAAGGGAGCGUAGGCGGUUAGAUAAGUCUGAUGUGAAAGCCCACAGCUUAACUGUGGGAUUGCAUUGGAAACUAUAGAACUAGAGUGUCGGAGAGGUAAGUGGAAUUCCUAGUGUAGCGGUGAAAUGCGUAGAUAUUAGGAGGAACACCAGUGGCGAAGGCGGCUUACUGGACGAUGACUGACGCUGAGGCUCGAAAGCGUGGGGAGCAAACAGGAUUAGAUACCCGCGUA
rnacentral:rRNA from 1 species